UGAUCAUCCAAAACAUUAAAACCACUGACAGGUGACAUGAAUAACACUGAUCAUAUCGUUGCAAUGACACCUGUGGUAUACAUCAGACCGCAAGUGAGCAGUCUAUUCUUGAAUUGUAUGUGUUGAAAUGAGGGAAAAUGGGCAAGCGAAAAGAUCUGAGUGUCUUUGACAAGGGCUAAAAGUGAUGGCUAGAUGACUGUGUUGUGGGUAUGUAGGGGUGUUUCUAGUAUGCUAUUGUGGUGCAAGGAAGGACAACUCUGGUAAACCGACUAAUUGAUGCACAUGAGAAACGAAAGCUAGCCUAUCUGGUCUGAUGUUAACAGCUACGGUAGCUGGAAUUGCUGUAAAUAUAAUGCUGGCCAUGAUGGAAAAAUGUCAGCGCACACAGUGCAUCAGAGUUUGCUGAGCAUGUUGAACGUGCGCGUCAACGCUGGACCAUGGAGCAAUAGAAGAAGAUUGCUUGGUAUGACGAAUCAGGUCUUCCUUUAGAUCAGGUGGAUGGACAUGUGUGCCAUUUACCUGAGAAAGAGGUGACGACAAGAUGCAUUAUGGGACACAAGGAGGACCUGUAUGAUUUUAGGCAGGUAGUUUUAAUGUGGCUGAUCAGUGUAGUCUGUCUGUAGCAUUUAAUUCAUAACAAAGUGCCUUAAGGUUAAAUUCAGUGUUCAGAAACAAAUGACCGAUUUUUGAAAUUCUGUAUCAAAGAUAGACUACCCUGCUCAAUACAAUAUGGGUUUGUUUUUGGUUUUUUCCUUACAACUAAAUAUGGGAAAGUUAAUUUUUUGCAGCGCUCACCAUAAAAUUUCCUUCUUUGGUGACAUAUUGCUGUGGCAUUUCUUGCUGAUUUCUUUCUGGGUAAUUAUUAAAUAUUAUACAUGUAAGAGCAUUAUGGGAGAUGUAACCCACAAUAUCAUGAGUGCUGAAGUUUGCCUACCUCCAUGCGAGUGGGAGAGUGGAAGCAAUUCGUAUUCAAUUUGUUUGUAUUCUCCGUUUGUUUAAAUAAUGUAUUCACGUUUUAUCUGCUUUAUUUGACAGUGUGUUCUACAGAUACUUCAUUCGGAUGGGUGAAAGCAUACGAACGACAUUCGUGUAUUUAU